rnacentral:misc_RNA from 1 species
UGCCAGGUUCUGGGCUGACUAUAUUGACAAGAAGUUUUACCCGAAUGGAAGGAUGCUGUGGACAUCUGAAGGAGAAGUGAAAGAAACAUACACGAAGAACCUGAUUCAAAGCUUUCAAACAUUGGAAAAGGAGCUUGGAAACAAGACAUUUUUUGCAGGGGAGAGCUUUGGUUACGUAGAUAUGGCACUUAUCCCUUUCUAUAGCAUGUUUUAUACGUACGAGAGUCUGGGAAACUUUAGUAUGACAGUGGAUUGCCCUGGGAUUGUGGAGUGGGCUGGGAGAUGCUUG